rnacentral:lncRNA from 1 species
GAUUGUGGGUAAUCCUAGGUGAAGUCCUGGAUUUAUGUUAUUAGGAUCGAUUAUCGAUAAUUUCUCCAUAUAUAAUUUUUAUAUUUGAUCAGGAUGAUGAAGAGAUACGAUUGUUUACAUAAGAUGUCGAGUGGAAUAUCUUAUUUUCGAAAUUCAUAAAUCAAAGAAGAACAUUGAUUUCUAUGCUUCGAUCAGAUAAAGGUAAGAA